rnacentral:lncRNA from 1 species
UGGCUGACUGCACAAAGUUGACAAUAGAAGUGGUCGGAUACACUAAGUAUAGCUAAUGAUUUAUCAGAAUGAACCGGGAUUCAUCAUAGUAAAUCGGGAUUCAUGAUGAGAUUCGUGUGCUAAAUAGAAACACACUAGGGGUUCGUAACGAGCUCAUUUUUGUAUUGAGUCGAGAUAUGACUCGUAUGUAUCGUAAGAUACUGAUAACUGAUUCUCAUCUAAAUUAAUAAGUAGCUUAUUCUGCUAGGAAUGUGUACAUUUUGGAGAUAUGAUAAUUAAAGCCGAACCUCAUGAUUAGUUGAACUUUUAUCAUGUACUUUUUCAAUUCAAUUGCUUUGUAGUUAAAUUUGCACCAUGGUUGUCCAACACAUUCAUGUCUGUUUAGAUCAUGAUUCACCACCAUAGGAUAUAAUGCACAAAAUUAAUAGAGUUUGAUGUAAGAUACACAAUAUUGCAUGAUUAUAUUGUAUGCAACUUUAGUAUAGUUUUGUUCUUAUACAUUGAACUUAUUUUUAUACAUAUAGGAUAGGAUGUAAUAAUCAAACCAGACAUGCAGUGUUUUUCAUUCUCUACUAUAAAUCCACCACAAAAGAUUAGUCAAUGAGUUUCCAUCAUCAAAUCCUUUUAAAUUUCUUAUAUUCUUCAAUGCAGUUUCCUUAUCAUAAAUUCCUUGUAAAGCAUAUACAAACCCUUUCCAUCCUUCUUCAACACCAUCUCUUUUCAAAGCAGGCAAUGUCCAUUCAACAAGUUGCUUCACAUAUUCAACAUCAGAGAACAAUACUUCAGAAAUAGGAACCAAUGGUAAGAGCUGAAUUCCAAGUCUACAUUCUCUAUAUUCAGGUGGAGCAAACCAAAGUCCACUUUCUCUCUUGUUAGACCAUAGAAAUCCCAUGAUCCUGUUCUCUUUUGUAAACUCUUCUGCAUAUAGUUUAUCUCCUUCUUUUAUAUGCCACCACAUUUGAGCUGCUUUAAUUCCAAAAGCUAAUAGUGUCGAUCCAUUGAUAAAAAGGUCUGCGUCGUUAUAUGCCAAACCCAUCAGUGCUGCUGAAUAAUAUGCAUUUGCAGCUUGGCUUGUGCUCUUAUGGUUUCUUCCAUCUUUAUGUUGAAUUAACCCUGGAGCAUAAUGGUGGCCUUGAACGUAAUCAUAAUCUCUUUGACGUGGGUCAUCGGAGUCUGGUCCUGAGUCCAAGUUCAUAAAAUCUUUCAUAAGUGAAUAGGCCUUCGACUUGUAUUUCUCACCCCAUGCAGUGUCAAUCUUUGUAAGAACUGCAAUUCCAUAAAGAAAGUAUCCCAAGUGAUCAGGGUGAUCACUAUAAAUUCCGAAACCGGAGUCAGCGUUAGAAUCCAUAGACCCUUGUUCGGUAACAAUGCCACCCCAUUUAUCAUCUUGUAGAAAUCCAUUCCCAUUUAAAGUUCCAUCUAACCAAGGCUCAAUGGUUUCUUUUAAAAACUUCUUAACCUUUGGAAUCACAUCUAAGUAAGAAACCUCUUCAGCUAUCAAUGCAAACCUCGCCGCCCUUCCAAUCAAUUUACCAUAAGAGUAAGAAUCUUUUGUGGUUAUUUUUGAUGAAUCUAGACCCUCAACAUCUUUUAAAAGUGAUGAAACGAUUUCAUCACGAGAUUCUUUCUUCACACCAUUCGUUGAAAGCCAUGUAACAUCAACAGGAUCAGUUUCCAAAAGCCAUGAAUCACCAACAACACCAACAAGGUCUCCAUCAAUGCUUUGAUACUUAAAAUCAUCGAAAACCAUGACGUUAUGGUCAGUACUAUUAGAUUGAAGGAGCUGAAUAUGAAGAGGGUGAGCUAACAUCAACAAAUCACUUCCUGAACCUUUCGUCUCCCACUUAUACUCCAUAGUAAAUGCUUCAUUGAAUGAAGCAUCACCAGACACAGGGUAACAAGUACUAACCAUGUCAAGAACUUCUUCAUUUUGUGAAUUGGAAUUCGUCAACAAAGCAAUUCGAAUUACACCAGAAAAGGCCUCAGAUGUGAUCUCAGAAAGGCCAUGACUUAACUUGAUUGGCAAGGAAGAGUAUAAAAUCCAUGUUUGAUCAUUGUCAAACUUAAAUGUGUACUUAGUUAAGGUAUCAUUUGAAGAAAAGGAAUGAAUGGAAUGAAUAGUAGUGAUAGAAAGAGGUGUUGAUUCUGUCACAGAGAAAGUUAAAAAAGGACUUCCUCUUACAAGGAAGAAGGUGAGGUUGGCAGAAGGGAUAUCUAAGGUGACACUGAGAUCACUAAAGGAAGAGACUACAUGUUUUUCAUUGGAAGUUUUUGUAGAGGAAGUGAUGGUAAGAUCAGCAGUGAAAACUUGGGAUAUAGCAGAAGGGCUGAUGGAAAGAGAUGGAUAUGAGACAGAAAGAGAUGAGUUGGAAGAUCUGAUGAGGUAAGGAUGAAAGUAUUCCGGUUGGUCACCAUUGUCGAGAACAAAGUUUUGGAAGAAGGAGUUUGUAGGGAGUGGUUUGGAUAGCAGAUUUGAAGAGAAGAAUUUGGAGGGGUCAGGGAGGACAGUGGAACUUGGAUCUAUCAUUGGAAAAGGAGAGCUCAUUUUGUUGUUGAUAGUAAAUCUCUAUUUUUGGUGAUUGUGUUGGUGAUGAGUUUGUUAGUUUUAUAGUUCUAU